GUGCGAUGAUGUGACACUUAGG
rnacentral:siRNA from 1 species